rnacentral:rRNA from 1 species
GACAGAGGGUGCAAACGUUUGUUCGGAUUUACUGGGCGUAAAGCGUGUGUAGGCGGCUUUGUAUGUCGGAUGUGAAAGCCCACGGCUCAACCGUGGAAGUGCAUCCGAAACUGCAUAGCUUGAGUCCCGGAGAGGAAGGUGGAAUGCUUGGUGUAGAGGUGAAAUUCGUAGAUAUCAAGCAGAACACCUGCGGCGAAGGCGGCCUUCUGGACGGUGACUGACGCUGAGACACGAAAGCGUGGGGAGCAAACAGGG